UCUCAAAGCAUGCUCCAUCUUGCUGGAUGCAGGAAGGAGCGUUCUGCUGUGCUCCACUCCAGCCUGGGCGAGGACAAGGGCUGCUUUGUCUCUGUGCACCUACAACUAGUGUAGAAAGGCAGCCUUGUGGACCAGCAAGGACUUCACCCCAUUUUUCUACACCCAUCAGCAUUAGUUCAUUACUUCACGCCCCAAAAUUUUCUGCUUCUUUCAGCAAGUUUGUGCCAAGCGCUGGCUCCCAGCCAAGCUCACGGCUGGUACAAUCUGGCACAGCCCCUCCGACUCCAAGGCAGCUGCAUCAAUUUACACCAAGGAAGAAAUGAGGGAGAAGAGAUAUGAAGAUCACCUCCAGCCCUCACUUACUCCCUGACCAUCUGUGUAAUGCCAGAGGAUGCUUCAGGGAAGAGGCUGAUGGCAGUAGCCUGUGGAGGCUGAAGCAGGACAUUAGUGGUCACACCACUGAGCUGAAUUUUGGCUGAAACUAGCAAGUGAACAACUUUUGCCACACCAUUAGAGGGGUUUUUUUUAACAGCAGCACACUCUCAGG